rnacentral:rRNA from 1 species
AUUGAACGCUGGCGGCAGGCCUAACACAUGCAAGUCGAGCGGAUGAAGGGAGCUUGCUCCUGGAUUCAGCGGCGGACGGGUGAGUAAUGCCUAGGAAUCUGCCUGGUAGUGGGGGAUAACGUCCGGAAACGGGCGCUAAUACCGCAUACGUCCUGAGGGAGAAAGUGGGGGAUCUCCGGACCUCACGCUAUCAGAUGAGCCUAGGUCGGAUUAGCUAGUUGGUGGGGUAAAGGCCUACCAAGGCGACGAUCCGUAACUGGUCUGAGAGGAUGAUCAGUCACACUGGAACUGAGACACGGUCCAGACUCCUACGGGAGGCAGCAGUGGGGAAUAUUGGACAAUGGGCGAAAGCCUGAUCCAGCCAUGCCGCGUGUGUGAAGAAGGUCUUCGGAUUGUAAAGCACUUUAAGUUGGGAGGAAGGGCAGUAAGUUAAUACCUUGCCGUUUUGACGUUACCAACAGAAUAAGCACCGGCUAACUUCGUG